GGGCCCGCACAAGCGGUGGAGCAUGUGGUUUAAUUCGAUGCAACGCGAAAAACCUUACCAGGCCUUGACAUCCUGAGAAUUCGGUAGAGAUACCUUAGUGCCUUCGGGAACUCAGUGACAGGUGUUGCAUGGCUGUCGUCAGCUCGUGUCGUGAGAUGUUGGGUUAAGUCCCGUAACGAGCGCAACCCUUAUCCUUAUUUGCCAGCACUUCGGGUGGGAACUUUAAGGAGACUGCCGGUGACAAACCGGAGGAAGGAGAGGAUGAUGUCAAGUCAUCAUGGCCCUUACGGCCUGGGCUACACACGUGCUACAAUGGGCAGUACAGAGGGCCGCGAUACCGCGAGGUGGAGCAAAUCCCAAAAAACUGUUCGUAGUCCGGAUCGGAGUCUGCAACUCGACUCCGUGAAGUCGGAAUCGCUAGUAA
rnacentral:rRNA from 1 species